rnacentral:sRNA from 1 species
CUUCCUCGAUCUGCUGCGGGCAGAUGAAAUGGAUAUGGCUGUCCAUGCCGCCGGCAGUGACGAUCUUGCCCUCGCCGGCGAUUGCUUCCGUGCCCGGUCCGACGAUAAUGUUGACACCAGGCUGCAUGUCCGGAUUGCCGGCCUUGCCGAUCGCGACAAUGCGGCCGUCUUUCAAACCGAUAUCCGCCUUGACGAUCCCCCAAUGGUCGAGGAUCAGCGCAUUGGUGAUGACGGUAUCGACCGCGCCAUUUGCUCGCGUCACCUGGCUUUGCCCCAUGCCGUCGCGAAUG